CACGCGACCACUUCUCUUGCUCUACCUUCUCCAUCUUCCGAAGUUCGUUUUUGUUUCUUCCUUCAUCGGCGGAGCUACGUCAAGAGAGGUCAACGGACAAGGAUAGAGUGCAGCACAUCCACCACGACGGCACAGCGGCAAAGUAAAGAAAAAGCGUCACUCAUCUUCCGCCCACCGUCUGCCUUCUUCCCUCUCCUACCUACCAUCCCCCCCCCCAUUCCCCCUCUCACCAUUCCUCUCCACCCCUCCCUCCCCCAAACCCCCAAGGGGGAGGCCUUACCACCCACUGCCCCUCCUCACCAGCUAUUUCCUCGUUGUUGUGUGUUUUUUUUUUUUUGGUUUUGUUUUUGUUUGCGGCAUCGCACAUGGUGUGCGUAUGUUUGCGUGUGCUUUGUCCCAUUGAUUUGGCUCGUCCUUCCUUGGCUGCUCGUGUUACCCCUUGCUCUGCCCCCUCCCCCUCCCCUCCCACUUCCUUCCACUAUAUCUAUUGUGUGUGAUUGGCCUCCUCCCCCACCCCCUUCUCUUUUGUUUCUCUUGCCUCUGCGUACCGCGUGGUCUCCUUGCUUACGGAUACGACGUCGCACAUACCAGGGCACACACACACACACACGCACAGAGAGAGAGACGAUAUUUCCUUUGUUGCUGUUGCUUGUUGGUAUCUCGACUUGGUCGUUAUUUUGUUGUUGUUGCUGGGCGCGUGUUUUUGUCGCUUCAGUCUCUCGUCUCUCCCUCCGUGCGGUGUGUGUUUUGUCUUUCGACUGAAGCAUAUUCUCUUACGGGCUAUCGAUGCGUGCAUGUGCGCUCGUGUAUGUAUGCAUGCAUGCGAACACGAGCACACUCUUCUCUCUCUAGCUCUCUGUCCAUCUGGCGCGCGCGCGUUGUAAGCGAAUAAUGCGCGUGUGGCCUCUGCCAUCACACAUACACACACUCUCUCUCCACUCCUUUCUUUCACAUUCGCAAGCAGACUCGGGCCUUGUCCGAUAACUUAGAGAGCAACAAAUACGAAAUACAUAUAUGCGCGCACGCACAGAGGACGACGACGCACAGAAAGACACGCAGACUUGAGAGUUAGCAGAGCGGUAGGCAACAGCCAUCAGAACGUGUCUAGAGACGAGUCACUGAUUGCCUCGCACGCUUGCCUCCCUUCUCUUUCGCACACAUAUAUAUACAUAUAUAUAUAUAUUUCCUUUGCUUUACCGUGCGCGCGUGUUUCGUGUUGUUUGUGUGCAUCUCUCUGUCUCUCCCCAUUGUGUUGUUGGCCGCUCUGUAAGCGCCGCUCGUGACCAUUAGGUAGAAGCGAAACACACGCACGCGUCGUAGGUGUGCACGUGUGCAAGCGAGUACCUUUGUAUUUUUUGCUUGGCCGUGUUUUCAGGUUUCAAAAAGAUUGCCAGACAGCGUGUGCGAGCCGACUCAGCGCCACCGUUUACGCGUGUGCGUGGGUAUCGGAGGGCGGGUGAGGUGUGUGGCGCUUGACUCUCGCUGUUUUGCUGUCCCUCGUAUUAUUUAUCACCCCUUUCUUCUCACGACGUAUGCAAGCACAUAUAUGCAUAUGUCUUUAUCGUCGCAAGCAAACAUUCAGCAAAGUCACGUCGACGCGCACACGCAGACAUCGAAACGGAGGAGAGGAAGAAGAACACAAGGGGACGUCAACGCAUAGCCAAGUCUAUUACAUCGUAGAACGCGUUGUUCGCUUCUCUUCGCAUUCUAUCUUCCCCUCUCUCUCCAGUGCGUACACAUUAACACAGACACCGUGGCACAUACACACGCCCCAAAUACAGAGGUAUACGUGGAGGGGCGUGGCCAAUCCGUGUCUUCCUCUCCUCUACCAAUUCAUUCCAGACCUCAACGACCUCCUUUUCUUUAGCGUGUGUGUGUAUUGUGGGCCUAACUCGAUCUGAUUUCUUACCCGCUCCCUUCCUCUUCCUUUCGCACCAGCACUAACACCCCCCCCACCACCCUACCCAAACCUCUCUCACGCAGCACCGUGCGAGUUUCCUUGUUCUUCUUCAGCUGCUUGUGUGUGUGUGUUUGUGACGGUCGACAG
rnacentral:misc_RNA from 1 species